rnacentral:ncRNA from 1 species
GAUCAAGUGCCUUAAGAGCAUCUGGUGGAUGCCUUGGCGCUGAGAGGCGAUGAAGGACGUGGUACGCUGCGAUAAGCCUUGGGGAGCUGCGAACGAGCUUUGAUCCGAGGAUCUCCGAAUGGGGAAACCCACCUUCAGCCACCGUAUCGUGGGUUCAUGGGCAACUGUGGAUCUGCGCUACGAUGGUUUACGAAGGUAUCAAAUCCUGAAUCCAUAGGGGUUUGAAGCGAACCCGGGGAACUGAAACAUCUCAGUACCCGGAGGAAAGGACAUCAACGAGACUCCGUCAGUAGUGGCGAGCGAACGCGGACCAGGCCAGCGCCUGGCAUGACGCUUACCGGAACGGCCUGGAAUGGCCGGCGCAAUGGGUGACAGCCCCGUACGGGACAAGCCAAUGCCAGGACACGAGUAAGGCGGGACACGUGAAAUCCUGUCUGAAGAUGGGGGGACCACCCUCCAAGCCUAAGUACUCCUCAGCGACCGAUAGCGAACCAGUACCGUGAGGGAAAGGUGAAAAGCACCCCGACGAGGGGAGUGAAACAGUUCCUGAAACCGGAUGCUUACAAACAGUGGGAGCCCAAGAUUCGUUCUGGGUGACUGCGUACCUUUUGUAUAAUGGGUCAGCGACUUAGAGUUACGAGCAAGCUUAAGCCGGUAGGCGAAGGCGCAGCGAAAGCGAGUCUGAA